rnacentral:rRNA from 1 species
CCUACGGGUGGCAGCAGUGGGGAAUAUUGGGCAAUGGGCGCAAGCCUGACCCAGCAACGCCGCGUGAAGGAAGAAGGCUCUCGGGUUGUAAACUUCUUUUCUCAGGGACGAAGAAAGUGACGGUACUUGAGGAAUAAGCCACGGCUAACUACGUGCCAGCAGCCGCGGUAAUACGUAGGUGGCAAGCGUUAUCCGGAUUCAUUGGGUGUAAAGGGUGUGUAGGCGGGAGCGCAAGUCAGAUGUGAAAGCUCAGGGCUCAACCCUGAGACUGCAUUUGAAACUGUGUUUCUUGAGUGCAGGAGAGGCAAGCGGAAUUCGGUGUGUAGCGGUGAAAUGCGUAGAUAUACGGAAGAACACCGAUGGCGAAGGCAGAUUGCUGAACAGUGACUGACGCUGAGGCGCGAAAGCGUGGGGAGCAAACAGGAUUAGAUACCCUUGUAGUC